ACUUGUCUCUCCCUUUCUCCACCUGCAGCCUACAAGCCUCCCUCCCCACCAGCAAAUAGUGGCUUCCAUCGCUACCAGUUGUUAGUCUAUCUUCAAGAAAGGAACGAGGUCAUCUCUCUUCUUCCCAGUGAAAGCAAAUCUCGAGGUGAGGCUUUGGCGUUCUUCACACUACAGCCAGGGUGGACUCCUGGGUAAAACUGAACCUUCAUGCGUUUGUGGGGCUAUCGGGACCUUGACCCCCACCCAUGAGCCAAGGAGACUGGGGUCAAAAAGUGGUGUUCUUUGGGAGUGAACUGGAAUGAGGGGCCCUAAAGGAGACAUUGACCUCAGAUAUGGUCUUCUCCCAAAAGUAAGUCCCAAAGACCAAGAAGCACCCCCGAAACUUUGUGUGGCAUGUGCAGGCAAAUACCCCACAACACCUCAGCAGGUAAUUGUACCCUAUAAUUGAGGCUGAUCUGAGCAAGAGGGCCCUGGAAUGCCACCCUGCCGGUCUAUCUUCAUUGGUGGCUAAUUGGUUGGUCUGCCCUGCCAUCUGGGUGCUGGGGCAAAGACUUCCUCAGCCACACCCCCUCCACCAGCCUCUCUGAACAGCUCUCCUCAGACACUGGACAGGACCCAUUUCCCGAACCUCCUAAAGACUAACCCAACCUGCCUGGCCUCAGUCCUCCAGCCACCAGGGCCAGGAAGCAGGAGGAGCUGUGGAGCUGGCCACAGCAACCCACUGCAGGUGACUCAACUGUGUGAGCCACGCCCCCCACAGUCCUAGAUUUCUCUUGGGGGCAUAGGAAGUAAAGUAAUCCUUAUGCACUCUAUCACCUCCCAGUUUUAGGACAGGGAGAGCUGUGUAGAAUGUACAAGUGACAUUAGAGGGUACAAAGAGCACAUCUCCUAGGCUGUCAGGAAAUUGAGUGGGAGGGUGGAUGUCAUCAACCAAUUCCUCUCACCCAGUGACCCUGACCAACAUCCACCCACUGAGAAGCUGGUGCAGGUAUUGUCACAACCCUGAUGCCUGAGGCCCCGGAGAAGGGGAAUGUGGAGUCCAGAAAAGCACUGGCUCAGACGUAUGCCUACCAGGGGCCACCAAUCAGAGGCCUCCCAGAGGACCUUUCCACCCGUGAACCCUCUCCAGGUGCCCUUACACCUCGCCAACCUGCAAAUCUCUUUAAAUGGCUUUAGCAAAGACAAACUUUGAAGUUUGAAUACAGAGAAGGAAGAAAAACUGCAUCUUUUCCAGGCCAAGACAAAUUUCUCCAGCAUCCUGGGAAUCAAUCUCACCAAAGAUGUCAGGAAGUCCUUUCCACCAGCUCAGGCACUGUGACUUCCAGGGGCCAGGAACUAGCACCUUUGCCUAGGAUGUUCCCACCCCCCAGGGGAUUCUCAUAGAGUGAGGCAGUGUCUCAGACACUCCCCGUUAGAUGCCAGGUCCCAAAGCAGAAGCCCUGCAUGGAGAUGCUCAGACAGGGUCACACCCAAGAGCCUCUCCUGGGUGCUUCCUUCAAAGAGCAGAAUGGAGAGGGGAAGAGAGAGGAUUAGAUGAUACUAGGAGGAGCAGUGACAGGGGCCAGGAACAAAGCGAGGCUGUGUAUGCCCAAGACACUGCCCACCUUUGCCAAGCUGGGGCUCCUGAUCUGAUGGCUGCCAACCUCCAGAAAACACAGUGAUGAGAGGGCCCAGCAAAGGCCACCUGUCAUCCUGGGUCACAGGUGGCAAGGCCAGGAGUCUGGAUAUCCAUCAGUCCUAAGACCCUUUAUCAAUCCCUGUGGACUUUUGCCCAAACCACCGUUCCUGUGCACAUGUAUGCACACACACACACACACACACACACACACACACACACGACCCACCUUCCAUUCUCAUGAAAACUUACAUCUGGGUGCAGUCCCUUGGGCUCCUGUGCUGCUUUAUUUGCUGCCAGAAAUGAAAGCAAGAAAAUGACCUUCCCAGAUGGAAGCCGCAGCCAAGGUACCAGUCUUGCCCUAGGACAGCCUUCCAGGUGCCUAGCCCUGUGCUGGGGGCUUCUGAGAAAACCUAAUCCCCACGUUCCGGGCAUUUUCCCUGCCCUCAAGCAGCUUACUUGGAACUGAUUAAAUAACAAUAUGGAGCAGCUUGUAAUUAAAGUGCUCAGUUAUGACCCUGAGGGCACAGGAGAUCACCGAGUGGGCUUAGGUCCUUUCCCUUCCUAGGUUCCUCUGUUCUCCAGGACAGCAUGCCUCUUCAGCAGGCAGGGGGAAAAGGUGUUUCACUGUAGGGUGAGGAAAUAUUUCUCCCACUCUCUAGCUAGUGAUGUGACUUUGGGGUGAAUCAAUGAUCCACUUUGGGGUGAAUCCAUGAUCCUCUUUGGGCCUCAAUUUCCUCCCUAGAAAAUGAGAUGAUCAUUUGCAGAGGAGCAACAGAUGUCUUUGGCCCUGAGGCUCCAAGUGGGACAAGGGCUGGACCUCACAGAAAGAGAAUCGCAUCCUUGAGUAAAGGAGCAGGGAGCUCCAGGCUGGGGAAACCAGAAAUGCAAAGAUUUUUAUUUUAAAUGUGAGAAAAUGGGAAGGUUGUAGAGGUUCUUGACAGUCCUGCAGAGAACCUGUAGCAUUGGCAGGUAGACCAAGGAAAGCCUUUAGAGAUGUUAACAGGAGAAGCCACCCAGGAAUGUCACUCUAGAGACAACCAAACUGAGUGACGAGAGAGAGAGGACAGGGGGCCACCAGAGGCAGAGGGAUGUGAGGCAGUGGGAGAGAUUGCAAAAGCAGAAGCAGCAGUCCUUGCUCAACAUCACAGUGCAGAGUGCCUGGCACACUCUGCAGCAGCUGGGCAGUGCUUGGGGAUCUGUGCAGCCCCAAUCUGGACCAGCACUCGAGAGGCCAGGACCUGGGGCCCUGCCAAUGAAUACAGGCCCCAGGACCUGCCUUGGUCUAGUUUUCUCUCCAUGGGAAUGGAGCUGUGAAGGGAGGGGACAUCAGGGAUGGCUUCUAGAGACUGAAGGGGAAAGGUCAGGCUGUGGAAGCUGGAUAGGGGGCAUCAACAUAGAUGGUUAGCUGAGAGGUUAUAAGAAACUUUGGCAAAGCGGUUUCGAAACUGAAGUAACCUAAAGGUUCUCAAUGUGGUAUAGUGUUCAGCUCACUGAAAAAAACAUGGUAGAGAGCCAGUCUAGAAUCAUGUUCUCGUCCUAGUCAGACCCCUGCCUUCCCUGGGACUCACAUGUAAAUGACAGGCUGAGGGUGAGAAGAGAGCUCAAGAUUAUUCUAAUUGAACCUGUCGGGACCAUCUAUAUAGGUGACAGGGUGGCAUUGCUCAAGACCAAGGAGGUGAGAUCUCCAUAGGAUUCCUGUUUGUCCUGUAACUCAGGACAAGAUAUGUGGUCAGCAACUGAGGACAUUUUGACAUUUGCCGCAGUCCGGCUGCAGCAAAAUGACCCAGGGGGUGACGAGCAACUUGUGUAGAUUGAUACAGCAGGAGUGGGAGCCGUUUAUUGUAGGACAGGAGGGGUAUAUAUACAUUCCACACAGCUUAUCUUAAUUAACAUAAACUAGAUACAGCAGUCAACCAAUAAAGACUCUCCACACUUAAUGGCUCGCUGGCAUUACUUCAUAAAUUAUUCCCUCUGGCAAAAUGCCAGGCGCCAUCUUGACUUGUUUACAGACCCUAAUGGACAUUCAAACAUCCAUUGUGUGACCUUGGACAAGCCACCUUGCAUCCCCGGAUCUUGAUUUUUACCUCAUCAGGGUGAGGGGCUGGACGAGCUGUUCGCGGCUCAAUGACCCAGGACUGGUGUGCUCACUCCUUCCCGGGCUCUUCUCAACUCUGUGCUGCCACACAUAUGCAGAGAGUGGACAAGGUCUGACUCCCCUAGCCAACUCAACAUUUGCCUCCCAUGAGGCUUCCUAGCAAGUGGGCCACCAGGACCAGCUACCCUGCCUCUGGUUGAGGAAGCACCCAUGGUCAUGCCCCUCCCCCUCCUUCCAUGGCCCACAUUUCCCACCACCUAGAUCCUACAUGGUGCCGGGUGCUGGUAGUAGACAAGGGAACCACCUGUCCCUACUUUCUUGGACAUGUGUGUCACCAUGGUGUAGCCCGUGGGGAGCUGGCACUCACAAAGAGCAAGGUAGACAUCCAAGCAGCUUAAGCAAAUGGGGGAAGGACAGGCAACCCUGAAGCCAAUAGGGCCUGAACACUGCCUCUGACAAGAGCUGGCCCUGUUGCACUGUCAGUGUCCCAAAGGCCACACUCUGCCUUCUCAGCUUAGGUUAGUGUUACCUCAGGCCUCUGAUAUACUAGACUUCCACCUCUGCUUCCUGUCCUUCCUCUGCAUCCUCCUCACACCCAAAGUCCCAGCUCUGGCCUCUGGGCUCAUCUGUGAUUUUCAUGGUCCCCCUACAUGUUUUCCAAGAAGCAGCUUCAGAUUUGGCCUCUAGACAGAGUUUUGUAGAUUCCAGAGGAACAACAGAAGCCGUUGAGGGACCCCGCAAGCAGCCUUCACAUGCACCACACGUUGCCAGAACACCCCUGCUUUAUAUUCAUGUCAAGCCACCCACAACCUCACCCAACUACAGAUUUGCCUGCUGACCUGGACACCCCACUUCUCCAUCGCCCAGUCCUGGAAGGCCCUGCCUGCCUUGAGGACACCUGUCACUUCCUUGUGAAUAUCCACAAUAACCCCUGGGCUAAACUCUGUUCCCUCUUAGCCAAGCCUGGCACUGCCCUCUCCUGUUAGUGUCCCCCCCGCUGUGUCCCCUCUCAUAACAUUCUGUUGGGCCUCCUUGGGCACCUUGCCUCUAUCUUUUUUGCCUUGCCACUAAAUCCCAUUCUGCACCUGUCAGCCUUUCUUCCACCACGAAGUGUAAAUUCCUUGAGAGAGGAGCUCACCUCUGCCUUCCUUCCUUUCACCACCUGUCACUGUGCCCGUCUCCCCGCACACACAUAUGGAUCUGAACAUUCUCACACCCCCACGUUCGUCAACUUCCUCCAGCACCUGAAGAGACGGCCACCUCUCCAGCACCUGAAGAGACGGUGUCCACAAAUGACAGUCUCCAGGCCAAAUGUCUUCCCUGUCCCAACUCCGAGCAGGCAGGGCCACCAGCCUGCCCUGCCCUUCACUGAAGCCUUGUCCACCAUAUUAGGUGGGCAGGACAGCUGCCACAUCUCCUGGGGGCAAACAAGAAAACUGAAGCCCAGAACAGUGAGAGGUAGGAUUGACCAAAGGUCUGCAGCUGAGAGCUGACCAAUCUUCUUAAGUCCUGGGGAAGGGCUCUUCCCACUGCCACAAUGCACCUUCUCCCUCCACCCAGACCACCAGACUUCUGGGCCCCGGGCCAGGGAUAGACAGGGAGAAUUUGCAUCCUGCUGCCCUGAGCAGUGUGCAGGCAAGGGGCCAAAAGGUAGGGCUGCUAGGAGGGUGGACAUGUGUCUGGGUGCCUUCCUGCAGACAGUCUGUCCUUCCCUCAGGUAAAAAGCUGUGGCUGAGCUCCUGGAGAGCUGUGGUCUGCACCAUGCCACACUCCAGUCGCCUCACCCAGAGGUGACAAGCUGUGUUCAUGAUCCUCUGGUGAACGAACUGGGAAAAUUCUCUCUCUGUCCCAUGAUAGAUCAAAUGCCAAAGCUUGCUUCAGAGCCACUCCAAGGCCAUGGGCCCAGGAUCGUGCCACAGUGCCUGGGCAGGGACUAGAUCGUGCCACAGUGCCUGGGCAGGGACUAGAGGGAUGGCUCGGUUACCCCCUCACAGGGGCACACAGAAGCCUUUGGAGGGAAAGCUCACUUGUUGCAAAACAGGAUAAGGGUGGCAGGCAAGGAUCCUUGGGGUUCUAGGCCAUAUGGAUUCAGGAUUAGAAGGAACAGGCAGAGGCCUGCCAUACAGUGAGGCUUACGACUUGCUUGUAGCAUCGAAGGCCUCGGGGCUCCCAGGUGAGUGAAACAUGGGGCAUAAUGGGGCCAAGGACAGGAGGGCCCCAGAGCCCCAAGCAGCCAUCAGCAGUGGGAAGCUUUUGACUGGCAGGAACUCCAGGGACCUGAGGAGCGAGGGGCACGUAGAGUAUAGGGAAGUUUGGAGGGAAGAGGCCCAGAGGGAAAGGUGCCCUGCGUGGAGAGCACCCUCAGACAGGCCCCCUCCAGCUCACACACAGACAGACACAAACACACCCAGCCCACUGCAAAACAGCCCACCCCACCCGCCGUGACCUCCCAUGGUGGUUCACCUGGCCCAGCACCAGACCCCCAGGGACCACCCCUGAUCACCGUGUGGGCUUGCGGCAGGCUGCUCUCUUCUGCCUCCGAAGGGCCCCACCCACCUAGCAGGGCCGGUAGGACUAGGGUCCUGGCAGCCACCCAGCUGGGGCCAUCUGGGCAACACUCAGACAAGCACCCUGGCUAGAAACUGCCUGAAAUCUCUAUAGGCAUGAGGCAGACGUCCUGGAGAAGUAUGCCCCCACCCAGCCACGCAUCAGCUGCCCCAAGGAACAUCAGACAGAUCAUGGGGAGACAACAGAGAAUCCCCAAGUCCCAGCCAACCUUUGCCACUACCAAAUGUUGGAGUUGAUAACUGGGAGCUACCUUAGCAGCUUUCGGGCCUCCUUCUCUGUCUCCCUUCCCGGUCCUCACCCUCAGCCUCAAGAUGGAGAAGGGAGGCCUGGGUGAUCUACCGGCUGGACAGGUAGGAAUCAUCCUUCCGCUUUCCAGUUCUCCUAAGUUCUCUUCUUCAGAGGAGACCUGGUAGCCCCUCACCACCCUGGGACUGCCCCAGCCUCCCUGCUCUCUCACACCAACCACAGGCCAAGUGUCACCUCCUCAGGCCUCUGGAGCCUCUGGAGCCUCAGGAUCAGCCACUCAGCAAAUAUUCUCCAGGAGUAAUCGGAUGUGAUGGAACGAGGGCUUUUCAGCUCCUGAGUGAAAGUCUCUGGAUGUCAUUUAAUGGCACAAAAAAUAAAAGGCUCGGGCCUCCCGCCCACCACCACCAGGACAUCAUUAAUCUCAGGAGAAAGGCAUCACGCUUCUAUCACCGCAGCCAGCUCCAGACGAGCCAGACAAAUUACAGACCUGAGCCGGGCCCUGUGUGGGGCGGUUAUUAGGUUGGAGUUGAAUUCUUGUUGUUUUCUUCAGGGCCACCGUCCCCUGACAAGAAGCAGUGCCCUGCCAAGUAGGAGAGUAGAGCAGGGAAGAGGGAGGCUGCCCAGGGGGACAGGGCAGCUCGGGGACAGGUGCCCAGGUCCCUCCAGAGCACCCUUGUCUUCCCAGUCCCCAGUCCCAGUCCCCAGGCUGACAGGGAAACACUUCAGAGCCCUCAAAGGACAAGUGACAAGUCCGGUGGGGAAUGUCCUUGGCAAGUCAGGGGUCAGGAAGCACUGUCCUUUGCUGGUGAAAAGCCUAAGAGUUGGCCCACGGAAGGGCUUGUGAGCAUCUGUCAAGGGCCCCAGCUGUUGGCCAAGGCCUCCCUUCCAAGGACCAGUUUUUUAUUUGUCCUCUGUGGAUUGUGUUAUGUUAGAAAGUCACUGAGGGCAGGAGUGAGACUGGGUAAAGCACCUCAUCCCACUUGCCUGACAGAGGCCCAGGGAUGGCUGCCAGUGUUAGCUAAGGGACCCUGCCUCCCAGGUCCCCUCAACUGAGCAUGUGCAUUCUAGCAGAGGAGCUGUCUACGCAUUCUCCUGAGCCUGGGGGAAUCAGGACAAUACAAGGGGGCACAUCCCCUUCUCAGUCUCUUGGAGGCCCAUUUGGCCCUCACAGGCCCAAGGGAGCUAGCUAGGGGGAUCGUGUGAUAAGCCAAAUUGUGCAGAGCCAGCCCCGCAGAUUCAGGACCUGGAAGUAGAAAGAGUGACUGCCAAGACAUCCUCCAGAGUCAUUUCCAAACAUCCAGCCAUGGCUGUCCCUAGGACUGAGAAUCAGAGAACGAGGCCACCCCCACUGCUAGAGACAGGGGUCCUUCCUUCCACCUGGUGUCGGACGGGAGGUCAGGCACAGAAUGUUGGCUCAGAAACACCCAAGCUUUAAAUGAGCUGUCCCCCAACCCCCUCCUGCCCAAACAUCUCUAGCAUCCAACAGCCCUCACCUAAGAAGGUCUCCAGUGGCACUGACCAGCAAGGGAAGGGAACGGCCUCGAGGCAGGGUGUGCAGCUGGCUCUGCAGAAAUGGGUCCUGCAGGGACCAACCUACACAUCAUGCGGCAGCCCUGACCCGAGGAGCCCAGGACGUUGUGUUGCUGCCACUGUACAGCUCAAGAGACAGACUGGCAGGCUGCCUUCCCCCAGAGGCCUCUGGAGUGCACUCACCGCCCCUGCCCUGUCCCAGGUAGAGUCCAGCCUGGCUGCAAGUUCAGUGGCCCUGGCACAGACACAGCCCUCUUCCUGCGUGGCAGCAGCUUCCCUGCAGCUCGGGGACAGAGCAGUGCCAUACAGGAAGGGGCUUUCCUCUGAGCUGCGACCACAGAAGCCACAGCUCCCCAUCUCUCCCCAUACACCCCUGAGGGCCUGACUCACCCCUCUUCCUUCUAGAACUUGCUCAGGGUCAGUUCCUCUCGCCCUCUGUGGCAGGAAACAGAGUGGUGGGGGGUGUUUAAGGAGUCCUGGGUGAGCCAGGGGAGGAAGUGGCCCGAGGCUAGCCAGCACAGGGUCUGGGUGCCACAGCUGCCCAAGGAGCCCGAGAACCACAGGGUUGUCGGAAAUGGGGCUGGGAACAAUCCUGAGGCACCAGGGACAACUCUGAGCUCAGAUAGAAGGCAGCUUCUGAGCAGGCAGGCCUGUGCUCCUGUGUGAGGGGAGCCUCGUCUCUCUCAGGGUAUAGGGGAUUUCUUUCCAUCAUCUUGCCCUGAUCUCGUGAUUGGUUUCAAUUCCCUCCUUGUCACCCAGGUUCCUUCCUGUCCCACUCAAUGGGGAAGGCCCCUUGUCCCCUUGUGUUUGCCACACAUCAAUUUACCCAUGAGCCUUUUCCGUGGCAUGCACGUGAACACACACAAACAUGCACUGGUGUGCACACACAUGCACACGUGCCAAAGUUUCCCAGGUUCAUAGACCAGAAUUCCUCUACAGCCAUCACGAUCCCUGUGGUGCAGAGGCUCCAACCAGACACAGUGCCUCCGAAAGGGCUCUGGAGUGACACAAAGCCACACUGCGGAAGCACCAGGGCAGUCAGCACCCAUCCAACAAGCUGGACUCUCUCUGCCCUUUCCCUGAGACACCCCUGCAAGCCCUCAUUCUGCAGCUCUCAAGGUCAAUCCAAGUACACGGUCACUGAGUCAGAUGGGAUUGAGAGAACCUGGAAAGACCUUGACCUCAUCCCUGCCUCCCAAGAAGUUUUCUCCCCAGUAGUGCACUGGGUCCCAUCGUCCCGUCAGUGAGCCAGGGAUAUACCCAGUCCCCCAUAAUAUGAUCCUUAAUGUGUAUAGUGCUCCUGGGAGAGCACCUGGCACACAGAAGGCACCGCAGAGGUGUCCUGUUGCUGCUAUUAUUAUUAUUUGCUUUAUUACUAUUAUUGUGUUUGGGGUUGGGGAUCAAAAAUUGUGCUCUCCUUGAGAAUAUCUUUGAAACACCUGGAGGGAGAGGGUAAAUGGAGAAGAGGAACAUUUGGGUGGACUCAUUUUCUUCUUGUUAUAAAAAGAGCAGUGAGUACACACAGGAGCCAACAGGUGUGGCACUGGUGACCUGUGGCUCUCAGGUGAGGGUUUAAGAAUUCCAGGCUGCCAGCCCUUAACCCUCCUCUGUCUGGAGAUGAUUGGUUUUGACCAAACCAUGGCAAAUCUGCCACUUGCUAACUUGCUCUGAACAAGGCCUUUCCUGAGUGUUCUCUCCAUCCAGAGAAGGUGGCUAGAUUUAGACCCCAAAAGAAAGAAAAAAAAAUGCAGGAUGCAAUUCAAUUUCAAUUAAAUUUGAAAUCUGGUUAAACAACGAAAAAGUUUUUAAUCUAAGUAUGUUCUGUGUAAUAAGUGGAACACAUAACAAAUUAUUUGUUGUUUAUCUGAAAUCCAAACUGGGCUUCCUGUAUUUUUCUGGCAACCAUCUGCCCAGGGUGCCUGAGGCUCAGGCUUUGGGAAACAAGAGCGUGGGAAUGUGCCUCUGACCACUUCCCUCACCUCUCCCUGGUGCUGGUGCCCCAGGAAGUGCCCUCCUUACCCUGCCAGGAGGCCUGUUCACACUCGCCCCAGAAGAUGUGACCCCUGGUGUGUCGCCUCCCCCUGAAGAGAGCCCCCUUCAAACUGGGCUGCUUGAGUGUCUCCAGGCCCAGCCUGAGAACGUUUCUCCCACACUCACUCCCCGCCAGAAUCCAAAUGCCAUCGCUGCACCUCCACACAGGGCGAGCCCUGUUGCAGGGGGUGGUUGGGGAGAAAUUGUAAGAACCAGCACAGAGAGCCCCGCCAGUCUCAGCCCCAGCACUUGGGGUGACCAGGUGUGGAGAGAAGAAGCAAUGAAGCCUCAGUCAUGGGGUCAGGAAAGCUGCAGGAAGAGGGGGUGGGUGGAGGGGUGAUGGGCCCACCUGAUUGGCAUUUCCUUUCUGUACAGGCAAAGAAGGCAACCUGUGCUAAAUAUUAUUGGUGGUGGUGGUUGUUUCCCGGCUGGGGGUUGAACCCAGGGCCUCUUGCCUGCAUGACAAAUGCUCUGCACGGAGCUACAUCCCCAGCCAUGGUAUGCUAAAUAAGGAGCCCUGGGAAAGGAGUCCCAAGGUAGCCUUGACUUGGUCUGGGAUUAGUCCCCAUUGUCCUCUGAUAAUCAGGCAACUAACUCUGCUACUUCUCAACCGCUCUGCUAGCAUCCCUGGCAGGGAGGGGCCAGAAGGCUUCCCAGGAAUUUGUCCUCAAAGCCCCACAGCCGGGAGAGUCUGCUUGUUGUAUGCCCCCAGAGCUGGCAAAUCCCUGCCAGCUCUCAGGUGCAUGGUCCCUCUUACUGACUCCCUAUGCUUAUCUGUUCUUCCAGGCUCCUGGAAUAUGGAAAGUUUUCUGAACCGCUUCCAUCUGAGAGAGCCCGAAGCAAGUACCCAGUUCAUGACCCAGAACUCCCAUGACUCACCAAUGAUCCAGGCUUUCAGGGGAGGCGUCAGGUAUUUCAAGGACAAACCCAAGUAGAGAUAACUGCCUGCUAGACCAAGGCUUCAACUUCUAGGCAUGUGUCCACAUUGCCUACCAACAGAUGGAAUCCCCUCUGGGUAUGGGUCCCUUAUCUUCAAAAUUAAAAAAAUAUAUAUCAUACAG
rnacentral:lncRNA from 1 species